ACGACAGCUUUGGAGAAUGAACACCUCUUAUUCAUCAGACAGGUACAGCGUGGGCAGCUGCAGUGAAAACUUCCCCCACCACCACCCCCAUGGACCUCAACUCUGACUGCAAAGAAAGACCUCUAGGGAUGAGAGGGGAGUUCAAAUUCCAUGUCCCGAUCAGUCUUCAGACUUU
rnacentral:sRNA from 1 species